rnacentral:rRNA from 1 species
GCGUGGGGGGGGGUGCUAAUACAUGCAAGUAGAACGCUGAAGAGAGGAGCUUGCUCUUCUUGGAUGAGUUGCGAACGGGUGAGUAACGCGUAGGUAACCUGCCUUGUAGCGGGGGAUAACUAUUGGAAACGAUAGCUAAUACCGCAUAACAAUGGAUGACACAUGUCAUUUAUUUGAAAGGGGCAAUUGCUCCACUACAAGAUGGACCUGCGUUGUAUUAGCUAGUAGGUGAGGUAACGGCUCACCUAGGCGACGAUACAUAGCCGACCUGAGAGGGUGAUCGGCCACACUGGGACUGAGACACGGCCCAGACUCCUACGGGAGGCAGCAGUAGGGAAUCUUCGGCAAUGGGGGCAACCCUGACCGAGCAACGCCGCGUGAGUGAAGAAGGUUUUCGGAUCGUAAAGCUCUGUUGUAAGUCAAGAACGAGUGUGAGAGUGGAAAGUUCACACUGUGACGGUAGCUUACCAGAAAGGGACGGCUAACUACGUGCCAGCAGCCGCGGUAAUACGUAGGUCCCGAGCGUUGUCCGGAUUUAUUGGGCGUAAAGCGAGCGCAGGCGGUUUGAUAAGUCUGAAGUUAAAGGCUGUGGCUCAACCAUAGUUCGCUUUGGAAACUGUCAAACUUGAGUGCAGAAGGGGAGAGUGGAAUUCCAUGUGUAGCGGUGAAAUGCGUAGAUAUAUGGAGGAACACCGGUGGCGAAAGCGGCUCUCUGGUCUGUAACUGACGCUGAGGCUCGAAAGCGUGGGGAGCGAACAGGAUUAGAUACCCUGGUAGUCCACGCCGUAAACGAUGAGUGCUAGGUGUUGGAUCCUUUCCGGGAUUCAGUGCCGCAGCUAACGCAUUAAGCACUCCGCCUGGGGAGUACGACCGCAAGGUUGAAACUCAAAGGAAUUGACGGGGGCCCGCACAAGCGGUGGAGCAUGUGGUUUAAUUCGAAGCAACGCGAAGAACCUUACCAGGUCUUGACAUCCCGAUGCUAUUUCUAGAGAUAGAAAGUUACUUCGGUACAUCGGUGACAGGUGGUGCAUGGUUGUCGUCAGCUCGUGUCGUGAGAUGUUGGGUUAAGUCCCGCAACGAGCGCAACCCCUAUUGUUAGUUGCCAUCAUUCAGUUGGGCACUCUAGCGAGACUGCCGGUAAUAAACCGGAGGAAGGUGGGGAUGACGUCAAAUCAUCAUGCCCCUUAUGACCUGGGCUACACACGUGCUACAAUGGUUGGUACAACGAGUUGCGAGUCGGUGACGGCAAGCUAAUCUCUUAAAGCCAAUCUCAGUUCGGAUUGUAGGCUGCAACUCGCCUACAUGAAGUCGGAAUCGCUAGUAAUCGCGGAUCAGCACGCCGCGGUGAAUACGUUCCCGGGCCUUGUACACACCGCCCGUCACACCACGAGAGUUUGUAACACCCGAAGUCGGUGAGGUAACCUUUUGGAGCCAGCCGCAUAAAAGGUGGAAAGCAUC